rnacentral:rRNA from 1 species
UACGAAGGGGGCUAGCGUUGCUCGGAAUCACUGGGCGUAAAGGGUGCGUAGGCGGGUCUUUUAAGUCAGGGGUGAAAUCCCCGAGCUCAACUCGGGAACUGCGUCCGAUACUGGCGGGCUUGAAUCCGGGAGAGGGAUGCGGAAUUCCAGGUGUAGCGGUGAAAUGCGUAGAUAUCUGGAGGAACACCGGUGGCGAAGGCGGCAUUCUGGACUGCAACUGACACUGAAAGACGAAAGCCAGGGGAGCAAACGGG